rnacentral:lncRNA from 1 species
AUGUAGGAGAGACGCUGGAAAAGCAGAGUAGGGAAAACACAGCUACAAGGAAUGUGCAGAGAAGCCUCUGCAGCUGCUCCUGAAAGUGGGAGGAAAUGAGGCCACCGGCAGGUCAGGACAAAAUAGCCUCUUUGAAGACAGAAAUGAUCAUGACAAACAAGGGCAGAAAAAAGAAAAAGAGAAAGAAAGGAGAAAAGCAGUUCCCAGAUGAAGAAAAAAGGGAAAAACAAAGAAGAGCAAAGGAUUACAAGCAGCAGCAAGACCAACACUUUAUGGAGAAUAAAACAGGAUGCUUCUGGGGCCAGGCUCCUAUAAGUUUGGAAUUUCUACCUCUGAACUUUCCUGAAAGCUCUUUAGUUAGGACAAUAGACAUACCUUCCAGAAGUUCUGAAUCAAUAGAUGAGGCAAUUGCAGAGAAAGGACGCAGGAGCUUUCUUUUCACUUCCUGUGACUCCUGACUACUCUGUAAUUAUUAAAUAUUAGUGAUUUUAGUACUUAAAAGAGGAGACCUAGAAUAAUGGCUACCAGUCCAUAGGGAGACUAAAAGAUAUGAAGUGUCAUGCUUUAUAACAAACAAAGAUCAUUUAUUAUAAAGUUGCAAAGAGGCUAUCACACUCAGGGGUGCAGACUCUUAGCUUGGAGCAAACUCAGAGCCUGAGUCAGAGCAUAGAUUUCAUGACAGACUAAAAAAGACUGCAGAGCAGAAUGCUGAAUCACACACCUUACAGAGAUGGGGAGAACCAUGGCUGCCACCCUAGGGAGAAAGAAAACCCUGUAGUCACUGAUGCCAAAUACUUCAAAAUUCCCAUUGAAGAAAAUAAAAAGAAGUCAGAGACUUGCGCUAAGAUAAUUGUAAAGCAAUAAUUUAGAAAGAGAACAGAGGCAGACUAGCCCUGUUAAAAAUAGUUAAAGGACCUGGAGGAAAGCUGACCAGCUGGCUUGUUAUAGUUGGGGGAGUCUGAAAGAAGGCCAGAUGGCCAGCAACAUGGAGACUUCUCCAUUCUGAAGAUCCUGUGGUAGAAGAACCCACCCUCUGUCCUGUAAGACUGGGGAUAACAACUCAAUGGCUUCAGUCUGGAGUGACUGUCUUGUGGAGGUUCCAAGAAGGCCAAAGGAAUCAUGUUAUUCCAGUGUUAUGUUUGCAUCACAGACCCUAAAGUUCUUUCACAGUAUGCAAUGACUCCACAUUUGUGACUAUUAGUAAGGAUGAUUCAAAUUUAAGUGACUGAACUUAUGGGGAGGACGCUGAGCUUCCCAGUAGUUGCAGCAUCCAUAUUUUGUUUUGGUCUUUAUUUUUGUUGUUAUAUGCCAAGAUUACCCAUAUAUUAUGGCAGGUAGUUUACUGGAUAUUCUCAUGAAAGGAGGACAUACUAGAAUCCUGCAAGAGCUGGAAAUGCUAUCACCCGAAGGUGAAGGUCACAAUAGGAUGCUUGACACAGCAAAACACAUGGAGGCUACAGAAAUACAGCAGGCCAACUGCUGUCUAACAACCAGAAUGGGUUCAUAGCACUCAAAACAGUAACAACUUUGGUGCUCUGGCUGAAGUUUUUUACUCUGACAAGUUCUAAAAAAACUCACCGAAAGACCAAAUUGUUCAAGGACUUCCAAGAACCUAGAAUAAGCAUCUGAGGACCAGGUCUCAUCUCUGCAUGAGAUGUCUCCUGUGACCCUUUUACCGAGAGAUGCAUCUUGAAGAGCAAGGCUUAUGACCUUAAAGAAUUUGUGCAAAUAACUCCAGCAUCACAAGCAUGUAUAGAGGUAGAAAAACAAUGGGGAUUUUCAUUCCUUCCCCCAUCAUAGAAAACAACAGAAGAUUUAACAGAAGAGUUUGAAGAACUUAAGACUGAUCUUGCUGAUUGU